UAGGGAAUCUUCGGCAAUGGACGAAAGUCUGACCGAGCAACGCCGCGUGAGUGAAGAAGGUUUUCGGAUCGUAAAACUCUGUUGUUAGAGAAGAACAAGGACGUUAGUAACUGAACGUCCCCUGACGGUAUCUAACCAGAAAGCCACGGCUAACUACGUGCCAGCAGCCGCGGUAAUACGUAGGUGGCUAGCGUUGUCCGGAUUUAUUGGGAGUAAAGCGAGCGCAGGCGGGUUCUUAAGUCUGAUUUGAAAGCCCCCGGCUCAACCGGGGAGGGUCAUUGGAAACUGAGUGACUUGAGUGCAGAAGAGGGGAGUGGAAUUCGAUGUGUAGCGAUGAAAUGCGUAGAUAUAUGGAGGAACACCAGUUGCGAGGGCGGCUCUCUGGUCUGUAACUGACGCUGAGGCUCGAAAGCGUGUGGAGCAAUCAGG
rnacentral:rRNA from 1 species